CCAGGGCCUAGCCGUGGCCUCAUGAACCACGGCGAAAAGCCACCUGCCCCUAGCGGCCUGGCCCUGGACGUUUUGAGGGG
rnacentral:ncRNA from 1 species